rnacentral:rRNA from 1 species
AUUGAACGCUGGCGGCAUGCUUUACACAUGCAAGUCGAACGGUAACAGGCCGCAAGGUGCUGACGAGUGGCGAACGGGUGAGUAAUGCAUCGGAACGUGCCCAGUCGUGGGGGAUAACUACUCGAAAGAGUAGCUAAUACCGCAUACGAUCUAUGGAUGAAAGCGGGGGACCGUAAGGCCUCGCGCGAUUGGAGCGGCCGAUGUCAGAUUAGGUAGUUGGUGGGGUAAAGGCUCACCAAGCCAACGAUCUGUAGCUGGUCUGAGAGGACGACCAGCCACACUGGGACUGAGACACGGCCCAGACUCCUACGGGAGGCAGCAGUGGGGAAUUUUGGACAAUGGGCGCAAGCCUGAUCCAGCAAUGCCGCGUGCAGGAAGAAGGCCUUCGGGUUGUAAACUGCUUUUGUACGGAACGAAACGGCUCUGGUUAAUACCGGGGGCUAAUGACGGUACCGUAAGAAUAAGCACCGGCUAACUACGUG